rnacentral:miRNA from 1 species
CUUCUUCUUCUUCCUCUUCCUCUUCCUCUUCCUCCUCCCCUCCUCCCCCUCCUCCUCCUCUUCCUCCUCCUUAGCUUGAGGAUACAACUCUUCCACAUGGAACCUGGGCAUCUUUCCAGAUGGCAUUCCCCAUGAGGCCAGCUCUCUAAGCCUCUGGCAGUC